GGCAGUCAACAAGCAUCUGUCCCAGCGAGAGGACAGAAUGGAGGCAUAAGCAGAGAGAACUUGGUCAAGCCUUGAAGGAAGGAGGAGCCCAGGACCACUUCUGCAGGGCUCAGCCAGCCAGGAGUUCACCCGACUGAUUCUCCUCCCAGCCCCGCUCCCCAGCUCCCCAUCUGAGAAUCACAACAGCAGUCAUUGCAUCCAAUCCUGGCAUUUUAUAGGUGCACACCCAGAGAGAGAAAGUCUCAGAUAAGCCUGUGCAGCUGCCAGUGACACAGGGAAACCCCGAAGUCCUGGUUCCCAAGCUGGUGUUCUUCCCCAAGUCAUUUUGUUAAGGUCAACUGUGCUGAAAUUGAGAUGCUCCUUUUCAGAUGCUGCUUCUGGCUGAUCAGGUCCAGCUCCAGGGAAGUGUGUGGUGGGCAGAGGCAGGAACAUGGUCUAGAACAGAUGGCUCAGCAGUGAAGCUAUAGUUAACAGGCUGGGUACAAAAUGCAGGAUGUAGAGAAAUCCCAAAGCCAGGGCGGGGUUGAGUGGGGUAAAGACAAAUAAGAGUGACUCUCUCUUUUAGGGUCUGAGCCAAGGGUGGGAACAGGGUCCUAACUUUGUGUAGUGUUUGUGGAGAAAGGCUUUCUGGAAGCAUCUCUCUGAGCCCUUCCACUGUCAUCUGGUGGACACAUGAGCUAUGAAACUGUCCAGACUUUGGAGGCUCAGGAUGAGGGGCCAGAGACUCACAGAGGGAGGGUGUUACAUGGCUGGAAUCCCACCCGGCAGCACUGGAAGGAACAUCAGUUCCGUGUCUACCUCUCCCCACUCUGUGCACAGAUGGGAAGAGGUUGGCCCUGCGAGGGAUGUCUCUGCAGAGACAAGAUGAGUAAUAUUAAGUGGUGUUUGUCUUGUGCCUUGUAGCUUUCAAAACAUUUCCUCAAACAUUGUCUCCCUUAAGCCUUGAAAUCAUCUCAAGCAGUAUGUAGAACACACAGUUUUACAGAGGAGGACACUGAAACUGAGAGAAAUAAUGUGUCUCAGUGGAAACAACUAGUCAGAGGUAGGCCAGGAGUCGGCCCCAAGAGUUCUGGUGCCAAAUCCCUGGCUCAGUGGAACCUUCAAGCCUCUCCGGACUCCAAGACGACCAAGCUUCUGGGUUCUAAACCCGAUUUGUUGGCUUCCUGGGCUUCCAACAUUGAUUCUGUAAUUCACAAGAGCCCAGGCGACUCAUUGACCGAGGUCUCAGCAGCAUGCUGACGUCUGGCUGCUUUCCCUUCUAUGACCCACUGAAGGUUCCAAGAUUGAUGGCAGUACUACAAGACAAGAGGUGCCUGCAUCCUGAAGGCCCCUGACCGCUUGGAGCAGGAAUAAGCCCCCGACUCCACUGGCUCUCAUCAAACGACGCCGUGAGCAAGGAAUAAACUUUUACUGCAUGAAGGGGAUGCGACAUCUAGGUUGACUUAGUACACCAUUGCCCACCCUACUCUAACACACACAGAAAUGGGUUCUUUGAAAUGGAGUGAUGCUGUUAACAGACAGGUAAAGUAUCACCAGUUGGGGGCUGGGCGGUAAGGAAAGGUAUUUUAGGUCGUAGUAGAACAUUUGCUAAAAUUGUUGCCUACGGCAACUUGGAAGACAGACCUUGUGCUAUUGAGGAAAAAAAUUAUUUUCAAUAAAAUCUCCUGCCAACCCAGAAUAUUCUCUCCACAAAUGUGGAAAAUAAAGAAAAUACUAGUUCUGUGAUUAAAUAAGCA
rnacentral:lncRNA from 1 species